AUUGAACGCUGGCGGCAUGCUUUACACAUGCAAGUCGAACGGUAACAGGGUGCUUGCACCGCUGACGAGUGGCGAACGGGUGAGUAAUGCGUCGGAACGUGCCGAGUAGUGGGGGAUAACGCAGCGAAAGUUGUGCUAAUACCGCAUACGUACUGAGGUAGAAAGUGGGGGACCUUCGGGCCUCACGCGAUUCGAGCGGCCGACGUCUGAUUAGCUAGUAGGUGAGGUAAAGGCUCACCUAGGCGACGAUCAGUAGCGGUUCUGAGAGGAUGAUCCGCCACACUGGGACUGAGACACGGCCCAGACUCCUACGGGAGGCAGCAGUGGGGAAUUUUGGACAAUGGGCGAAAGCCUGAUCCAGCCAUGCCGCGUGUCUGAAGAAGGCCUUCGGGUUGUAAAGGACUUUUGUCGGGGAGGAAAUCCCCAGCGUUAAUACCGCUGGGGGAUGACAGUACCUGAAGAAUAAGCACCGGCUAACUACGUGCCAGCAGCCGCCGUAAGAC
rnacentral:rRNA from 1 species